GUCGGUGCACUUGGUGCAGACGUGAAGCGGCUUAAUCAGAUGUGUGUGUUCAGAGAAGCAGAAAUCGAUUUUAACUUUUAAAACGCAUAAAUAUAAAUUUAAAAUCAUAUUACAAAAAUGCAGAGAGAGAAAUAUUUGCCAGAGCUGAUGGCAGAGAAAGACACUCUGGAUCCCUCUUUUGUUCACGCUACGCGUCUGCUGUCGGAAGAAAUUGAACAAUUCCAGGAUAGCGACACAAAGAAGGAAGAAGAGAAGCAAUACCUUGAUAUUAUCAGCAACAAAAACAUUAAACUUGCUGAGCGAGUGCUGAUCCCAGUGAAACAAUAUCCAAAGUUUAAUUUUGUGGGGAAGUUGCUGGGACCUCGAGGCAAUUCACUGAAGAGGCUACAGGAAGAAACAGGUGCAAAAAUGUCCAUCCUGGGCAAAGGAUCAAUGAGGGAUAAAGCCAAGGAAGAAGAACUGAGGAAAAGUGGAGAGGCCAAGUACGCACAUUUAGGGGAUGACCUCCACGUGCUGAUUGAAGUCUUUGUCCCAGCUGGAGAGGCAUAUUCACGCAUGAGCCACGCCCUGGAGGAGGUGAAGAAGUUCUUGGUUCCAGAUUAUAAUGAUGAAAUCCGCCAGGAGCAGUUGAGGGAACUCUCAUACCUAAAUGGUUCAGAAGAUUCGAGUCGAGGGCGGGGAGCUCGUGGGCGAGGACUCCGAGCACCCCUCCCACCCACUGUGAGGGGACGUGCCAGUGCACUUCUUCCAGGACGGGGAAUUCCAGUUCCCAGAGCUACACCAGCAGCGCGGGGGGCUCCCCUGCCUCCCCAUGCAGGCAGGAGCACCGUAGCACCCCGUGGAAGGGGAGGACCAGGGGCUGUGGGCUAUCGACCUCCGCCUCCACCAGAAGAGGAUGCCUACGACGAAUACGGAUAUGACGAUGGCUAUGGAGGUGAUUAUGAUGACCAGAGCUAUGAUACCUAUGACAGUAGUUAUGCAAGUCAAGUGGAGAGUGGCCCUGAAUAUUAUGACUAUGGACAUGGAACAAGUGAAGAGACGUACAACAGUUAUGGUAAAGAAGAAUGGGUGGCUUCCCGACCGAGUCUGAAAGCACCGAUCCCACGGUCAAGAGGGACAUACAGAGAACAUCCCUAUGGUGUCCAGUAGUAGGUUAACCGUGAAAAAUCAGGACACGCUUUAAGUUUCAGGCCAUUGCCUGUCCGAUUGCUUCCAGUCUGAUCCUAGACAUGGUCCAGGGAGCCAUGAUUGGUAUGUGGAGGCGGGAAAUCCCGGGAUUAAGGGGAAAACAAACGUGCGGCUCUUCACCAUUCGGCCAGUGAAAGAAAGAUCUUGCUGGUUGAGAGAAGGAAACUGGAUGGGCAGAUUGACAACAACUUGCACUGAUAACAACAUUUUCCAGAAUCUGCGGUAUGAUGGUGUAGCUGUUAGCCUAAUGCUUUACAGCGUCAAUGAUCAGAAAAUCAGUGUUCAGUUCUCGCCACUGUCUGUAAGGAGUUGUACCUUCUCCCUGUGAUGGUGUGGGUUUCCUCUGGGUGCUCCAGUUUCCUCCCAUAUUCCAAAGACAUGGUUAAGGUUGAAACCCUGCAUCAGGAGUGAAAGUGGACGGGGAAGAAUGCCGAUAUAGAGAAGAGGCGGGAAGGAAGUGGUGAGACAGGAUCCAGGAGAUGAUUGGCGGACUGAGGAAGUAUGAAGAUUCCAUUGUCUGCAGAAUCUCGUGUCUCUGGGGACCUGGGACUGGGGCGCAGUAGAAACCUGUUCCACCGCCCCCCAGCCCCCAUCAUGUUCCCAGAAUCAGAAUCAAGUUUAACAUCACUGUGGUGUAACUCAUUAUUUUGUGGCAGUAGUACAGUGCAAUACUUAAAAAAUUACUAUCGGUUACUAUAAGGACAUAAAAAUGUGAUGUAAAAAGGGAAAAGUGAGAGCAAAGAGUGAGGUAGUGUUCAUGGUCCACUCAGAAAUCUGAUAUUGGAGGGGAAGAAUCUGUUUCUAAAACAUGUAGUGUGUGUUUUCGGGCUCCUGCCCCUCCUGCCUGAUGCUCCCUUGGCAUUGCCUGGCAUUGAAUCACUAGCCAUGUGCAGUGAGAUUUUCCUGGCACUGUGGGUGGGCAGGGAUCUCGCCCUGGUCUUGUUGAGCCUGUCAGGGAGCUGGACACGGCUCCAACUGUUUCACAGACCUUGCUCACGUACCUACCAACACACAAUGUCAACAGACUCCCAGUGUAUCACACCCUGUCGAGUGGUCAGAAAUGCGCUCCUGGGCCCUGAGGCAAUGCAUAUGGCAUGCCCAUAGCAUUGGCAUUGUUUAAUAUACACACAAAGUGCUGGAGGAAGUAACCCUUUACCUUUCCCACCCACGCUAUCACCUAGUUACUCCUCCUUCUCCGCCCCCCACCCCAGUGUCCCUUCCUUUCCUGUCCUUGACCCGAAAUGUUGAUUGUUUAUUUCUGUGGAUGCUGCCUGACCUACUGAGUUCCUUCAGCACUUUGUGUGUUGCUUUGGAUUUCCAGCAUUUGCAGGAUUUCUGCUAUUUAUGAUUUGCAGAAUCUUUCGAUCUUUUGAACGUCUGGAUCUGCUGAGCUAGAGGACAGAGUGUUACCACUAAGCCACCAUUUACACGGUUCCAUUUAUAGUUGUCUGUUCUCCUAAAGCUACUUUGCAUUCAACACCUUUCUGCUAAAUGAAUUAUGCAAGACACGUUUGCAGUAACGAUCUCCAGAAGCAAGGCUAACCUUGUGAGAGACAAGCUACAGGACGCUAACACCUUCAGGACCGGUGUCACAGUGAUUGUCAUGAUCUCUUACACCCACAUAACCCAACCGUGCCACAUUCAGUGUGAAACUACAUAAAUAGCAUUCAAAGCAGAAAUAAUGAAUAACGUGCCCAGGGGUUUACAGGCAGCCUUAAAUCUCGCACUUCUGCUGACAGAACAGCAGAACAGGUUCCAAUCAUAUAGCACUCGGCUCCAAAUACAGUAGCACAUGGCACUUUACAUCAAAAAGAACUGGACCACCAGGCAAGUAAGGAGCACAAAUUGGUCCAGACAAUGAAGAGAGCGAGCGGGGACGGCAAAGUAAUGUAGCAUUAAUUAUUUGUGCUUUGUUUUUGUAACUAUGUUUUCUGCUACUAUAGCCAUAUGUGCUAUGUGCUGCAUGCUGUUGGUAAUAUCUUUUGUACCGUGGCCUGGAGGAACGCUGUUUCAAUUGGUUAUUUUCAUGAAUGGCUGGAUGAUUACUUAACAUGUUCCCACUGUUCCCGCUGAUGGGUGAGUCCAGAACUAGAGGCCACAGUUUAAGAAUAAGGGGUAGGCCAUCUAGAAUGGAGUUGAGGAAAAACUUUUUCACCCAGUGAGUGGUGGAUAAAUGGAAUGCUCUGCCCCAGAAGGCUGUGGAGGCCAAGUCUCUGGAUGCUUUCAAGAAAGAGAUGGGUAGAGCUCUUAAAGGUAGCGGAAUGAAAGAACUGGAUACUGAUUGUGGAUGAUCAGCCAUGAUCACAGUGAAUGGCGGUGCUGGCUCGAAGGGCCGAAUGGCCUACUCCUGCACCUAUUGUCUAUUGUCUAUUAACUUGAACAUGAACCUAAACUUCAUUGCUGACACAGACUUAACAAGCCAAAGGGCCAGAGUCCUUGCAGUACGCCUCUUUGCCUGUAAAGGGGAUGUGAAGCCACUGUAAGUUACCCUGGUGUGCAGGUUAGAGGCAGAAUAUAAGAAUUUAAGAAGAAUGUGGUAACCUACCUCAAUGACUAUCAUUCUGUGGUACUUGCAUCCACUUGUGAUACAGUGUUUUGAGAGGUUGA